UGUAGCCUAACAGAAGAGGUCAAGAGC
rnacentral:piRNA from 1 species